CCCCCCCCCCAACUUAGGGGUCCAAAGUGAGUUGGGCCUUGAGUACAUUUGUAUUGUGAAAUUGUGUGAGUAAAGCCCCUUUGAACCUCUGAGGAGGCAGGAUUGAGAUACUUUGAGAUGCUCACUUUCUUCUGGGCAAAGAAAGAGUAGCAGAAGAUGUCACUGCUUUGGGAUACCUUACCCAGGAAAUAGAUCCCCCCCAUAGACAAGUGGUGACUCAUCCACGCUGUCCCGAGCUAGUGAGUAGCUGAGCGAACACUGGGAGUGCGGGUCAUUGUGCUGCACUGGAGGGGAAGCGGGGCCUGCUCCUUAGUCCGAGCUGUGGACCUUGGCGUCUCAUGUGAGGUAGAGCAGAACCGGGAGAGUGGAAUGGGAGCAAUGCCUUUGACCUUCAGGAGGAGAGGACUGAGCUGCUACAGAGAAGAGUGUAACUUAGUGCAAGCGAGAACAUUCACGUGGGCCUGCCCCAGCUGCUGUGGUUGCACGGAGCUCCCUGACACUAGAGUUAUUCCAACCCAACUCCAUCACCCCUCCUUGAAUAGGUUUUGGGAAAGAUGCACCAUUGCCCAGAGAAUUGGAUCAGAUGAUAUGCCACGGCUCUUCCAAACUUAAGAAUCUGAACUCCUUUUGUCUAGCCAAGAAUUUGGAUGAAUCUGUCCUCUGCUCACUAGCCACAUGACCUUGGACAUGUUUAUUAGCUUUCCGAGCCUUCAUUUUCUCAGCUGUAAAAUGAGGUUAUUAUCUCAAAAAAUUGUUAUAAGCAUCAACAGAGAUAAGCAAUGAUUCCUGGUGAAAUCAUAAACGUCUUCUCCUGUCUCUGUACCUUACCCGGUUCUGGGGUGACCAGGUGAGUGCCUGGAGUGGCUGUUCCAUGGGUCAGAACAAAGGUCACAUGUGCUUGAGGAAUCAGCACUAAAUCAGAUUUCACUAGCCAUCCUCCCUCCAGGGUGUUCCCUUUGGCUCUUUUUGUCUUCCCUAUCUCCUGUCUUUAACCUCCCCUUCUUCCUUUCCCUUGUGUUCACUCAGCUAGCACUUUCUGAGAGGUUCUCUGUCCCAGAUACCCUGCUGGCUGGGGCAGUGCAUGAAUCACAUGCAGUUGAGAAUGUGAGCAGUGUCUUGCCUGUUGCUGACAGAGAACGGAAGAGGAGGGCCAUGCCCUAAGGGAGGCCUGUGCUGUGGGCUUACAGAGGGGCGGUCCUUUGGCGGGGGCAAGGCUAGAGGAGUGGUGGCCAGACAGGGGAAGUUUACACUAGGAAUAAGACGUUUGAGCCUGUCUUUGAAGAGCAGAUAAUGACUUUCUACACAGACAAGAUGAGGGAGACCCACCCUGCGCCCCCGAAGCUUUUCUGUCACCGUCUUGGAGUCUAAGGAUCUGAGCGUAUCCCUUUCCCCAGUGAGGCUACUCUUUGAAGGAAGUUACCGGGAGGCUGCCAUCCCCAGAACAUUUUGAUCCUAAAAUAUUGGAGCUAAAUCCGUCCUUUGAGAUCAGCUGACUCGAUGAUUACCAGACUCUGUGCACAGCCGAAUCAUCAGGAUGGUUUCCUAGGAGUGAUAUUUCUGGGCCAGAGUAAACGGCUAUGUGAAAUUGUUAGCUAUUGCCAGCUUGCCCAGGAAACUGAUUUCCAUCUGCAGCGAAUUAUAGCCGUGACAAUACAGCGACAGGACUGUGGCAGGGAGGAGACCCAGCGGCGAUCCCACCCUCUCUGCAGCAGGGGCGCACCUUGACCGACAGUUUGCCCCGUGCUGCCGCACCUGGGGCACUUCCCAAAUCCUGGCCCGAGAGGAGACACCAUGCCGCCACCCCGCCACCCCACCUUCCCGGCCCAAGGCUUCGGCUGCUCCGUGGCAGGCAGGCAGAGGGCAUGUUAAAGCAAAAUCGGCCUCGUUAAACUGAAAAGUUCAAGCAAAUGUAGCAAUUUGUUAUCAGAGUGCAGUCAGCUCUCUCAGAAGACUCAGUGGGGACCAGAAGAUGGGGCCAGGUGGCCUACAGCUGUGCUUUGAAGAAGACAGUCCGGGCCAGGGCUGGUCACCUCCCAUCUCUGGGAAGACAGCAGCCCACGUUUCUCUCAGCGUUGCUCUUUCAGCCUCUGCUGACAUCAAGGAUCUCCUGCAGAGGUCCUGACAGCUGGAGAGCGAGCUGCUUUUGUUUCUGACAGCCUCCCCUCUGCGAUGGUGUGUGAGCCUCUGCCGCAGGGCAGGCACCGACUGGUGACGAGUACAUCUGCCCAGCCUGAAGCCGAGCAUGCGAGCAUGCGCUCUGCUGGGCCUUGCCACCGGCUGCCCGGGAUCGCCACCACGUGCGGAGAGGACGGGGCUGUGAGCUUCCUGAACAUGGGGUUCCGAUCUGCAUCUGCACGCUGCUGCCCACAGUCCGUGGGACUGACACUCGAACAAAAGCCGCUCGGAAGUGGGAACUGGCGUCAGUCCGAGGCUUUCAGUAGACAUUCACAGGACAGAGUUGGGACUAGAAGCCCUUUGUAAAGGUUAAUGUCAAGUGAAAUUAUUGUUAUUAUUAGAUAGGUACUCGAUGAAUGUUUAACCGGUGAUUAAAUAAAUGAUGUGGAGAAAAAGGGGAUGGUAGGAGUAAGUGUUCCAGAAACUCCGAUUAGCAUGAGGGGAGGGGCUGCUGAAGAAGGGUGAUGAGGAUGGGCUUAUGGGAAUGGGGAAAAUUUCUAGCUGGGGAAACGCUGCGCCAGCACUCAGCUCAGCAACAAGCACAAUUUAUCUGCAGCAACAUCCUGGUCAGCGGGGCCUAUAAGGAAGUUGUGAGAAAUAGGGUCCAAAGGUAACUCAGUGAUAGCUAACAUUGAUCAAGAGUCACUUUGUGCUAGGCACUGAGGUAAGAGCUGUACCUUGGUAAACUUGCUCAAUCCUCAGGGACAGCCCAGUGAUGCAGUUACUAUUAUGAUCAUCCUCAACCUAUAGAACAGGUAAUUGAGACCCAGAGAAGUUAAUUAAUUUACCUGAAGGCUAGUGAGAGCCAAACCAUUUAGUGCUUUCAAUGCUAAAUUAGGACUCUGACUUUCCACAGUGGCACAGGGGAGACCCUGAAGGUUCUUGAGCAGAAGAGUAACAUGGUAAUAUAAGUGCUUCUGAAAAAAGCAAUAAGGCACAGCAGUUAGGAAUUUGGACUUUGACACCAAUCUGGUGUUUUAAAAAUCCCAGUUCUGCCAGUUGCUAGCUGUGUGAUCUUAAAACACUUAAAAAAGUUUUGUGUGUGUGUGUGGGGGGGGGCAGGGACAGAGAGAGGGAGAAAAAGUGAAUCCCAAGCACAGCCCACACUGUCAGGGCAGAGCCCCAGGCGGGGCUCGAACUCACAAACUGGGAGAUCAUGAUGUGAGCUGAAAUCAAGAGUCACUUAACCGACUGAGUCACCCAGGUGCCCCCUAGCCUAAUCUUAGGCACAUUAUUUGACUGCACUGUACUUCAAUCUCCUCAUCUAUAAAAUGGGGGUAAUAAAAGCAUCCAGCUGUUAGGAUUUUAUGAGGAAUAAAUGAGAUAGGGAACUGCGGAGCCCUUAGAACAAUGAUGGCACGUAUGUGUAUGACAAGUGUCAGCUAUUAUCAAUGUGUUAUCUGUCCACUGGAUGGACUAGAGAGGUCAGAGGCAAGGGAGGCAAGCAGAAGGUUGAUGGCAACUGGAAUAGAGAGCAAGGUAUUUUAGGGGUGCCUGGCUGGCUCAGUCGGUA